UCUUCAAAAAAAGAAGUGCUAAUACACUUCCACUUGAAGCUGCUUUCAUUUGAAAGUAAGUUGCCAUGCUGACAUUUUCGUCUCUUUUCUCCAGCAAAAAAGCUGUGAAUAAACUUUUCCUGGAGCAACUUCAUUCAGGAGAGCAUUAUUUCUUGGCUCAGGAAACCACCAGUGGACAUUGGGAAAGAAUGGUGAUUCACAACAAGGCUGUUCUGGAUAGUGAUAUGAUAGUGAAAUGACUACAUGGCGUGGAAAUGAAGCUUAUUAUCAUAAAAAUCCACUCAGAGACAAUCUAGAAGUUGAAACAGUAUACUAAGGAGAUAGUUCCACCUCAAGAGGCUCCUCUCUUCUUUCUGUUGUCUGAUCCCUCUUCAGGAUAUGAUAAUUGAAUUGAUCUUACUCUACAGGCAUGGAUGGUGAGCAAAGCAGGAGUCCCAAGGCAAUCUGCAAGAAAAUAAGUUUGUGAAGGAGGCUGCCUACAGAAGUUGUGGACACUCCAUCCUCAGAGGAUUUAUGAACAAAAUAGAUUCUGUUCACAAAAUGGAUCAAGCUCCUGAAAAAAAAAACAACUGUAUAAAUGUCCUUAUUUGAAGAAGGAAGAUGUGUUGAAAAGGAUGCAGAAGAUCACAGAAAAAGAAGCAUGGGUUCAAUGACAAAGGCAGCUGAAUGCAGCCCUGAGUAAGAGACCCCUGUCCCUGCCUUCAUCUCACCAUCUCCCUGUGAUUUGGGCAAGUUCCUUAACCCAGAUUUUUCACAAGCGACAAUCAUUUUCUGAGUUCCCUCCUACAAGAAAUCUUGACUUUAAGUUGCUUUGUAUAUCUGCCCUUAGGAUGAAAUGCUUCAUGCUCCCCAGUCAUAUAUUUCUAGUUGUUAUAGUCAGCUAGCUCAGAUGCAGGUUUCUCCAGUGCAGAGGCUACAGUCUGAGGAAAUAAGUGCCCUCUACAGAGCUUAGUUCAAAGAAAGCAUUGAAUUCUCACAGCUGUCUGUGUUGACAUAUAGCACCCAGAACAAACUGGGUGCUAGAUGUGGAAACAGACAAUCCUAGGGAAUGCUAAACAAUCUCUUAAAAAAAAAAAAAAUCCAUCUCCAGGUAUCACAUACAGGACCCAAUAUCAUUAGGUUAUUCCAAUCUUUUUCCAUUUGUAAAGCAAAAUUCCCAUUUUCUUAUCCUUCUGGACUUUUGAGAAAAAUGAACUAAUUCUUGUUCAAGAAGCAAUUGGAUACUAUACUGAUAAGUGCCAUAAAGGGAGGGGAAAAAAAGAUAAAAUUAAUUAUUCUGGAUUUACAACAUGGUGCAAGGAAUGUGCAGCAAAUCAGACAUGGGGCCACACAAAAGAAGAAUACAUGAAAUACAGAAUAUCUGCUUUUCCUGGUUUUUCUGUUUUCUAUUUAAAUGUAUAUAUAUUCUAGCCAGUGUAAAAUCACAGUUCUUGUGCCUAUGUAACUAAUUACUAUAAGAUACAGUGUAACUAAGG